rnacentral:rRNA from 1 species
CCUACGGGGGGCAGCAGUGGGGAAUAUUGGACAAUGGGGGAAACCCUUAUCCAGCGACGCCGCGUGAGGGAAGAAGGUUUUCGGAUUGUAAACCUCUGUCAGUGGGGACGAUAAUGACGGUACCUACGGAGGAAGUCACGGCUAACUACGUGCCAGCAGCCGCGGUAAUACGUAGGUGGCAAGCGUUGUCCGGAAUUACUGGGUGUAAAGGGAGCGUAGGCGGGGUGUCAAGUCAGAAGUGAAAAUCAUGGGCUCAACUCAUAGCCUGCUUUUGAAACUGGUAUUCUUGAGUGCAGUAGAGGCAAGCGGAAUUCCUAGUGUAGCGGUGAAAUGCGUAGAUAUUAGGAGGAACACCAGUGGCGAAGGCGGCUUACUGGGCUUUUACUGACGCUGAGGCUCGAAAGCGUGGGGAGCAAACAGGAUUAGAUACCCCAGUAGUC